rnacentral:rRNA from 1 species
CCUACGGGAGGCAGCAGUGAGGAAUAUUGGUCAAUGGCCGGAAGGCUGAACCAGCCAAGCCGCGUGAAGGACGAAGGUGCCAAGCAUUGUAAACUUCUUUUGUCAAGGGACAAAAUCAGGCUCGAGAGCCUGACCGAGGGUACUUGAAGAAAAAGCAUCGGCUAACUCCGUGCCAGCAGCCGCGGUAAUACGGAGGAUGCGAGCGUUAUCCGGAUUUAUUGGGUUUAAAGGGUGCGUAGGGGGACUGUUAAGUCAGCGGUAAAAGCCCGGGGCUCAACCCCGGCGAGACGGUGAAACUGGCUGACUUGGGAUGUCGAGAGGAAUGCGGAAUGGGCGGUGUAGCGGGGAAAUGCUUGGAUAUUGCGCAGAACGCCGAUGGCGAAGGCAGCAUA